UGUAUAAUGGGUCAGCGACUUAUAUUCUGUAGCAAGGUUAACCGAAUAGGGGAGCCGAAGGGAAACCGAGUCUUAACUGGGCGUUAAGUUGCAGGGUAUAGACCCGAAACCCGGUGAUCUAGCCAUGGGCAGGUUGAAGGUUGGGUAACACUAACUGGAGGACCGAACCGACUAAUGUUGAAAAAUUAGCGGAUGACUUGUGGCUGGGGGUGAAAGGCCAAUCAAACCGGGAGAUAGCUGGUUCUCCCCGAAAGCUAUUUAGGUAGCGCCUCGUGAAUUCAUCUCCGGGGGUAGAGCACUGUUUCGGCAAGGGGGUCAUCCCGACUUACCAACCCGAUGCAAACUGCGAAUACCGGAGAAUGUUAUCACGGGAGACACACGGCGGGUGCUAACGUCCGUCGUGAAGAGGGAAACAACCCAGACCGCCAGCUAAGGUCCCAAAGUCAUGGUUAAGUGGGAAACGAUGUGGGAAGGCCCAGACAGCCAGGAUGUUGGCUUAGAAGCAGCCAUCAUUUAAAGAAAGCGUAAUAGCUCACUGGUCGAGUCGGCCUGCGCGGAAGAUGUAACGGGGCUAAACCAUGCACCGAAGCUGCGGCAGCGACGCUGAUGCGUUGUUGGGUAGGGGAGCGUUCUGUAAGCCUGCGAAGGUGUGCUGUGAGGCAUGCUGGAGGUAUCAGAAGUGCGAAUGCUGACAUAAGUAACGAUAAAGCGGGUGAAAAGCCCGCUCGCCGGAAGACCAAGGGUUCCUGUCCAACGUUAAUCGGGGCAGGGUGAGUCGACCCCUAAGGCGAGGCCGAAAGGCGUAGUCGAUGGGAAACAGGUUAAUAUUCCUGUACUUGGUGUUACUGCGAAGGGGGGACGGAGAAGGCUAUGUUGGCCGGGCGACGGUUGUCCCGGUUUAAGCGUGUAGGCUGGUUUUCCAGGCAAAUCCGGAAAAUCAAGGCUGAGGCGUGAUGACGAGGCACUACGGUGCUGAAGCAACAAAUGCCCUGCUUCCAGGAAAAGCCUCUAAGCAUCAGGUAACAUCAAAUCGUACCCCAAACCGACACAGGUGGUCAGGUAGAGAAUACCAAGGCGCUUGAGAGAACUCGGGUGAAGGAACUAGGCAAAAUGGUGCCGUAACUUCGGGAGAAGGCACGCUGAUAUGUAGGUGAAGUCCCUCGCGGAUGGAGCUGAAAUCAGUCGAAGAUACCAGCUGGCUGCAACUGUUUAUUAAAAACACAGCACUGUGCAAACACGAAAGUGGACGUAUACGGUGUGACGCCUGCCCGGUGCCGGAAGGUUAAUUGAUGGGGUCAGCGCAAGCGAAGCUCUUGAUCGAAGCCCCGGUAAACGGCGGCCGUAACUAUAACGGUCCUAAGGUAGCGAAAUUCCUUGUCGGGUAAGUUCCGACCUGCACGAAUGGCGUAAUGAUGGCCAGGCUGUCUCCACCCGAGACUCAGUGAAAUUGAACUCGCUGUGAAGAUGCAGUGUACCCGCGGCAAGACGGAAAGACCCCGUGAACCUUUACUAUAGCUUGACACUGAACAUUGAGCCUUGAUGUGUAGGAUAGGUGGGAGGCUUUGAAGUGUGGACGCCAGUCUGCAUGGAGCCGACCUUGAAAUACCACCCUUUAAUGUUUGAUGUUCUAACGUUGACCCGU
rnacentral:rRNA from 1 species